rnacentral:rRNA from 1 species
UGCGUAGGCGGAUUAAUAAGUCAGUGGUGAAAACCUGCAGCUUAACUGUAGAACUGCCAUUGAUACUGUUAGUCUUGAGUACGGUCAAGGUAGGCGGAAUGUGUAAUGUAGCGGUGAAAUGCUUAGAUAUUACACAGAACACCGAUUGCGAAGGCAGCUUACUGGACCAUUACUGACGCUGAGGCACGAAAGCGUGGGGAGCGAACAGGAUUAGAUACCAUGGUAGUCC